rnacentral:rRNA from 1 species
CCUACGGUGGCAGCAGUGGGGAAUAUUGGACAAUGGGCGAAAGCCUGAUCCAGCCAUGCCGCGUGUGUGAAGAAGGCCUUCGGGUUGUAAAGCACUUUCAGUGGGGAAGAAAGCCUUGGGGCUAAUACCCUCGAGGAAGGACAUCGCCCACAGAAGAAGCACCGGCUAACUCCGUGCCAGCAGCCGCGGUAAUACGGAGGGUGCGAGCGUUAAUCGGAAUUACUGGGCGUAAAGCGCGCGUAGGCGGUCUGAUAAGCCGGUUGUGAAAGCCCCGGGCUCAACCUGGGAACGGCAUCCGGAACUGUCAGGCUAGAGUGCAGGAGAGGAAGGUAGAAUUCCCGGUGUAGCGGUGAAAUGCGUAGAGAUCGGGAGGAAUACCAGUGGCGAAGGCGGCCUUCUGGACUGACACUGACGCUGAGGUGCGAAAGCGUGGGUAGCAAACAGGAUUAGAUACCCCAGUAGUC